UACGUAGGGUGCAAGCGUUAAUCGGAAUUACUGGGCGUAAAGCGUGCGCAGGCGGUUCGUUGUGUCGGCGGUGAAAGCCCCGGGCUUAACCUGGGAAUGGCCGUUGAAACUGGCGAACUGGAGUGUGGCAGAGGGGGGUGGAAUUCCGCGUGUAGCAGUGAAAUGCGUAGAGAUGCGGAGGAACACCGAUGGCGAAGGCAGCCCCCCUGGGCUAACACUGACGCUCAGGCACGAAAGCGUGGGGAGCAAACAGG
rnacentral:rRNA from 1 species